UUUCCGUAGGUGAACCUGCGGAGGGUUCAUUAUUGUAUAACCGAGGUGCGAGGGCUGUCGCUGACCCGAAAGGUCGUGCACGCUCGAGUGCCCUCACACACAUCCAUCUCACCCCUAUGUGCACCACCGCGUGGGUCCCCCUUUGGCUUGUUCGGAGGGGGGCUUACGUUUUCACACAAACUUUGUAUGCAGUGUAGAAUGUAUUUUUUGUUUUUGCGAUCACGCAAUCAAUACAACUUUCAACAACGGAUCUCUUGGCUCUC
rnacentral:misc_RNA from 1 species